GUGCUCGGGUACGGGUGGGCCGGGCUGAUGCGCAAGUACGUGGUGGAGCCGGCGCACGCUCGUCCAGGUCUCGCUCUUCAGUAUGUACGUACCAGGACACUGCACGAGAAGGAGGAAUUCCCCGGGGGCUCAAAGCAGAUGUCCCGCUCCAAGUUCUUCCUGGUGGUGCUCAUCUGCAGCUUCGUGUGGGCCUUCGUGCCGGGCUACCUCUUCCAGUCGCUCACCUCCAUCUCGUGGGUGUGCUGGGUCUUCUCCAAGUCCGUCACGGCGCAGCAGCUCGGCUCAGGCAUGAAGGGCCUGGGUCUCGGAGCUUUCACGCUCGACUGGACCGCCGUCUCCUCCUUCCUCUUCAGCCCGCUCAUCUCGCCCUUGUUCGCCACCGUCAACGUCUUCGUUGGCUACGUCUUGUUCAUUUAUGUGGUGAUGCCCACGGCGUAUUGGGGGAUGAACCUGUACAACGCCAAGACGUUCCCCAUAUUCUCCUCUCACCUCUUCGCCUCCAAUGGGUCGCCCUAUAAGAUCGCCGACAUUGUGAACCAGCAGUUCCGGCUUGACACGGAGGCGUACGACAAGCUCGGACGCAUAAACCUCAGCAUCUUUUUUGCAAUCUCAUAUGGCUUCAACUUUGCCACCAUUGCCGCAACCAUCACGCACGUCGGCUUCUUCUACGGCAAGGAGAUCUACCACCGGUUCCGAGCUUCACAGCAGGAGGAGCCUGACGUCCACACAAAGCUAAUGAGGAAGUACGAGGACAUACCAGCGUGGUGGUUCUACUCUGUGACAGCAUUGUCCAUGAUAGUGUCCCUCAUCCUCUGCACCGUCCUCAAGGACCAGGUUCAGCUCCCAUGGUGGGGCUUCCUCUUUGCCUGUGCCAUGGCCUUCACCUUCACGCUACCCGUAAGCAUCAUUUCUGCAACCACUAACCAGACGCCUGGUCUGAAUGUCAUCACUGAGUACGUCAUGGGGCUAAUAAUGCCUGGAUACCCCAUCGCCAACGUCUGCUUCAAGGUGUACGGCUACAUCAGCAUGUCGCAGGCAAUCUCCUUCCUCGCAGACUUCAAGCUUGGACACUAUAUGAAGAUACCUCCCAAAUCAAUGUUCAUUGUUCAGUUUGUCGGUACAGUGGUGGCCGGGACUGUCAACCUCAUUGUCGGAUGGUGGCUACUUGGCUCGGUUGAGAACAUCUGCCAGGACCAACUGCUCCCACCAAACAGCCCAUGGACAUGCCCCAACGACCGUGUCUUCUUCGACGCAUCGGUCAUCUGGGGCCUUGUUGGCCCGAAUCGCAUUUUCGGGUCAAAUGGCAACUACAUAGCCCUCAACUGGUUCUUCCUCUUUGGCGCGGCAGGCCCUGUCAUUGUGUACAUCCUCCACAGGAUAUUCCCCACUCACAAGUGGAUACUACUCAUCAACAUUCCGGUGCUCACCGGCGCUACGGCCUUAAUGCCGCCAGCGACGACCGUAAACUUCAACUCGUGGCUGCUCUACGGCAUCAUCUUCAACUUCUUUGUGUUCCGGUACCGCAAGAAGUGGUGGCAGAGGUACAACUACAUCCUCUCUGCUGGGCUUGAUGCGGGCGCCGCGUUCAUGGGGGUGCUGCUUUACUUCACACUGACCAUGGAGAACCGGACAAUCAACUGGUGGGGCACGGGCGGCGAGCACUGCCCUCUGGCCUCAUGCCCCACCGCUAAAGGGGUAGAUCUUGGACCGGACAGUGUGUGCCCUGUGUUCUAA
rnacentral:rRNA from 1 species